GGAACAGUAGCUCAGUGGCAGAGCGCCGGGCUUGAGGCCCGGAGGCCGGUGGUUCGAUUCCGCCCUAUUCCGCCA
rnacentral:tRNA from 1 species